ACGGAAGGCAGCAGUCGGGAAUAUUGCGCAAUGGAGGAAACUCUGACGCAGUGACGCCGCGUGCAGGAAGAAGGUUUUCGGAUUGUAAACUGCUUUAGACAGGGAAGAUACAAGACAGUACCUGUAGAAUAAGCUCCGGCUAACUACGUGCCAACAGCCGCGGUAAUACGUAGGGAGCAAGCGUUAUCCGGAUUUAUUGGGUGUAAAGGGUGCGUAGACGGAGAAGCAAGUUGGUUGUGAAAUCCCUCGGCUUAACUGAGGAACUGCAACCAAAACUACUUCCCUUGAGUGCUGGAGAGGAAAGUGGAAUUCCUAGUGUAGCGGUGAAAUGCGUAGAUAUUAGGAGGAACACCAGUGGCGAAGGCGACUUUCUGGACAAUAACUGACGUUGAGGCACGAAAGUGUGGGGAGCAAACAGGAUUAGAUACCCUGGUA
rnacentral:rRNA from 1 species